CUUGGUCUAAUUCAUUUUUAUGUAGCAGUGGAGGGCUGAUGCUAAUAGUCGAGCCAAUGGGAGCUAUUAUCAUAGCUUGCUGAUAUAUGGAGAAAGAAACAAAUGAUCAAAUGUCAUAAAUUUGCAAUAGUAAAACGAUUGAAAUGAUUUUCUCAGGCUACACAAUUUUAUUUGGAAAAUAUGGAGGCCGAAGGAAUGCAGAAUGCCGGUUUUCGAUUUAUUAUGUCAUUUAAUUGUCAUGUGGGUUUUAUAUUCAGUCAUUCUAUGAAGUAUGAACAUAUAUUAAGGCCUUUUUUUUUUCUGGAUGGAACUUUGCAUACACAGUAUCGCGUGUAAUAGAGAAGGUAUUGCAUUCUAUCUUGGACCCAUGAUGCGUCUGCUGGAUAAACACACACACCAACCAGUAGCUUUCUUCCUUUCCCAAGAACAUGAGUGGCUAAGGAAAAGUUUGAAUCCAGUUAAAGUGGCUUAAACUGAUUGAGAAUGAUUCAAACGUUUGGUUUAUUUUUUUUUUUUGGUUUUAAUGGAACUGUUUUACUACAUAUUGUUUAAAGGAUUAAGUCGACAAAUUGACCACAUUGAGAUCACAAGAUAUUGCACUGAUGAUGUAUUUUGUCAGUCCUUAGUUUCAUCCCCCUUUUUUUUUUUAACUUUU
rnacentral:misc_RNA from 1 species